rnacentral:rRNA from 1 species
CCCUUAGAUGUUCUGGGCCGCACGCGUGCUACACUGAGUGGAUCAGCGGGUCAGGUUGCGCGAAAGCGUUUCCUAAUCUUUAAAUCCGCUCGUGAUGGGGAUUGACGGUUGCAAUUUUCUGUCAUGAACGAGGAAUACCUUGUAAGCGCGGGUCAUCAUCCCGCGCUGAAUACGUCCCUGCCCUUUGUACACACCGCCCGUCGCUCCUACCGAUGGGUGAUCCGGUGAAUGAUUCGGACUCGGUUGCCUCUAGCCACUAGUGGCGCUCGAGAAAGUUUUGUGAACCUUAUCACUUGGAGGAAGGAGAAGUCGUAACA